AGCAACGGUCAUGAAGACACCGAAGAACACAUUGCAGAUGACAAUUUGGAAGAUGAAACAUCGGAACCACAGGAACACAGUCCUGUACUGAAUGAAAAUGACCACCCAACAUCUUCGGAAUGCAAUUUGGAGGAGAAAUCGUCUGAAAUCCAGGAGCAUCAAUGGGAAGCGACUGAAGAUAAUGCCGACGAGCUCGGCACUGUACAACAGAUGAACGAACCCGACGUUACCAG